UACGGGGGGGGGGUAAGCGUUGUUCGGAAUUACUGGGCGUAAAGGGCUCGUAGGCGGCCAACUAAGUCAUACGUGAAAUCCCUCAGCUUAACUGGGGAACUGCGUGUGAUACUGGAUGGCUCGGAUUUGGGAGAGGGAUGCGGAAUUCCAGGUGUAGCGGUGAAAUGCGUAGAUAUCUGGAGGAACACCGGUGGCGAAGGCGGCAUCCUGGACCAAUAUUGACGCUGAGGAGCGAAAGCCAGGGGAGCAAACGGG
rnacentral:rRNA from 1 species